ACACAUGAUCAACUUGCCCUAUAGAGAAAAAUAACCUCGGGAAACUGAGGAUAAUAUUUCAUAGUUGAAAAGGCUUGGAAAAGUUUUUCAAUAAAAUGGAUAAGGAAAAUGGUCUUUAUCUGCUAUAGGAUAGGAUCGUGUUCGAUUAUGGUUGUUGGUGAGGUAAUGGCUCACCAAGCCGAUAAUCGAUAGGGGCCGUGAGAGCGGAAGCCCCGAGAUGGGUACUGAGACAGCGACCCAGGCCUUACGAGGCGCAGCAGGCGCGAAACCUCCACAAUACACGAAAGUGUGAUGGGGUUACCCAAAGUGUUCUAUUAAGAACUGUGGUAGGUGAGUAAUGUUCCCUACUAGAAAGGAGAGGGCAAGGCUGGUGCCAGCCGCCGCGGUAAAACCAGCUCUUCAAGUGGUCGGGAUAAUUAUUGGGCUUUAAGUGUCCGUAGCCGGUUUAGUAAGCUCCCUGGUAAAUCGGGUAGCUUAACUAUCUGCAUGCUAGGAAUACUGCUAUA
rnacentral:rRNA from 1 species